rnacentral:rRNA from 1 species
AUUGAACGCUGGCGGCAUGCCUUACACAUGCAAGUCGAACGGCAGCACGGGAGCAAUCCUGGUGGCGAGUGGCGAACGGGUGAGUAAAGUAUCGGGACGUGCCCAGUCGUGGGGGAUAACGUAGCGAAAGUUACGCCAAUAUCGCAUACGAUCUAUGGAUGAAAGCGGGGGAUCGCAAGACCUUGCGCGAUUGGAGCGGCCGAUAUCAGAUUAGGUAGUUGGUGGGGUAAAGGCCCACCAAGCCGACGAUCUGUAGCUGGUCUGAGAGGACGACCAGCCACACUGGGACUGAGACACGGCCCAGACUCCUACGGGAGGCAGCAGUGGGGAAUUUUGGACAAUGGGCGAAAGCCUGAUCCAGCCAUGCCGCGUGCAGGAUGAAGGCCUUCGGGUUGUAAACUGCUUUUGUACGGAACGAAAAGGACUGCCCUAAUACGGUGGUCCCAUGACGGUACCGUAAGAAUAAGCACCGGCUAACUACGUGCCAGCCGCCGCCGUAA